ACAAAAAUAAACAAUAACACAAGUAAAACCCAGUAUGUGGGUGGGUCCCACAGGGACCUGUGGUGGCGUCAACAGGAAGUGACACCAGGGGAGAGAGGGAGAGAGAGGUGUGGUUAGAAAGUUACACUUUACACGCCUAUCUAAGCGUUAGUCAGAUGCUAACAGCUAGCAAUUGAAGUAAAG